GUGGCGUUCAUGUAUAUGGUUUUCGAUGGGAGAGGGUUAGACUGAAGAUUUAAAGGUCCUGUGUUCAAUCCACAGAGGUCGCA